GUCGAGUUGAGUAACAUCAGCUUGUGACCCAAGUGGGGACACCGAGGUAUUGGGACAAGUCUCUGGCUUAGCCAGGUUGGGUUGGUGGCUGCACCAUGCUGCCUGCCCGCUCCAAGUUCAGAGUUGAACUAUGAGAACUGAGUGAAGACACAGGUCUCCUCCUUCCUAGACAAGGGGAUACUGCGUGAGGCUGGCUUCACAGAGCAGCGAUCACCCCUGGCUCUUCACAGUGGAGGGAUUACAGGCUGCCUGCACUGUCAGCCCAUAUAACCUGAUGAGCCUUGCUCUUGAACCUUUACUUUU
rnacentral:SRP_RNA from 2 species